CCUACGGGAGGCAGCAGUGAGGAAUAUUGGUCAAUGGACGCAAGUCUGAACCAGCCAUGCCGCGUGCAGGAUGAAUGCCCUAUGGGUUGUAAACUGCUUUUAUAUAGGAAUAAACCCCCUCUCGUGAGAGGGGCUGAAGGUACUAUAAGAAUAAGGACCGGCUAACUCCGUGCCAGCAGCCGCGGUAAU
rnacentral:rRNA from 1 species